rnacentral:rRNA from 1 species
UUAAGCGACUAAGCGUACACGGUGGAUGCCCUGGCAGUCAGAGGCGAUGAAGGACGUGCUAAUCUGCGAAAAGCGUCGGUAAGGUGAUAUGAACCGUUAUAGCCGGCGAUGUCCGAAUGGGGAAACCCAGUGCAAUUCGUUGCACUAUCGUUAACUGAAUACAUAGGUUAACGAGGCGAACCGGGGGAACUGAAACAUCUAAGUACCCCGAGGAAAAGAAAUCAACCGAGAUUCCCCCAGUAGCGGCGAGCGAACGGGGAGCAGCCCAGAGUCUGAAUCAGCUUGUGUGUUAGUGGAACGGUCUGGAAAGUCCGACGGUACAGGGUGAUAGUCCCGUACACCAAAAUGCACAGGUUGUGAACUCGAAGAGUAGGGCGGGACACGUGGUAUCCUGUCUGAAUAUGGGGGGACCAUCCUCCAAGGCUAAAUACUCCUGACUGACCGAUAGUGAACCAGUACCGUGAGGGAAAGGCGAAAAGAACCCCGGCGAGGGGAGUGAAAAAGAACCUGAAACCGUGUACGUACAAGCAGUGGGAGCACCUUCGGGUGUGACUGCGUACCUUUUGUAUAAUGGGUCAGCGACUUAUAUUCUGUAGCAAGGUUAACCGUAUAGGGGAGCCGCAGGGAAACCGAGUCUUAACUGGGCGUUAAGUUGCAGGGUAUAGACCCGAAACCCGGUGAUCUAGCCAUGGGCAGGUUGAAGGUUGGGUAACACUACUGGAGGACCGAACCGACUAAUGUUGAAAAAUUAGCGGAUGACUUGUGGCUGGGGGUGAAAGGCCAAUCAAACCGGGAGAUAGCUGGUUCUCCCCGAAAGCUAUUUAGGUAGCGCCUCGUGAACUCAUCUUCGGGGGUAGAGCACUGUUUCGGCUAGGGGUCAUCCCGACUUACCAACCCGAUGCAAACUACGAAUACCGAAGAAUGUUAUCACGGGAGACACACGGCGGGUGCUAACGUCCGUCGUGAAGAGGGAAACAACCCAGACCGCCAGCUAAGGUCCCAAAGUCAUGGUUAAGUGGGAAACCGAUGUGGGAAGGCACAGACAGCCAGGAUGUUGGCUUAGAAGCAGCCAUCAUUUAAAGAAAGCGUAAUAGCUCACUGGUCGAGUCGGCCUGCGCGGAAGAUGUAACGGGGCUAAACCAUGCACCGAAGCUGCGGCAGCGACACUAUGUGUUGUUGGGUAGGGGAGCGUUCUGUAAGCCUGCGAAGGUGACCUGUGAGGGUUGCUGGAGGUAUCAGAAGUGCGAAUGCUGACAUAAGUAACGAUAAAGCGGGUGAAAAGCCCGCUCGCCGGAAGACCAAGGGUUCCUGUCCAACGUUAAUCGGGGCAGGGUGAGUCGACCCCUAAGGCGAGGCCGAAAGGCGUAGUCGAUGGGAAACAGGUUAAUAUUCCUGUACUUGGUGUUACUGCGAAGGGGGGACGGAGAAGGCUAUGUUAGCCGGGCGACGGUUGUCCCGGUUUAAGCAUGUAGGCUGGUUGUCCAGGCAAAUCCGGAUAAUCAAGGCUGAGGUGUGAUGACGAGGCACUACGGUGCUGAAGUAACAAAUGCCCUGCUUCCAGGAAAAGCCUCUAAGCAUCAGGUAACAUCAAAUCGUACCCCAAACCGACACAGGUGGUCAGGUAGAGAAUACCAAGGCGCUUGAGAGAACUCGGGUGAAGGAACUAGGCAAAAUGGUGCCGUAACUUCGGGAGAAGGCACGCUGGUGUGUAGGUGAAGUCCCUGCGGAUGGAGCUGAGACCAGUCGAAGAUACCAGCUGGCUGCAACUGUUUAUUAAAAACACAGCACUGUGCAACACGAAAGUGGACGUAUACGGUGUGACGCCUGCCCGGUGCCGGAAGGUUAAUUGAUGGGGUUAUCCGUAAGGAGAAGCUCUUGAUCGAAGCCCCGGUAAACGGCGGCCGUAACUAUAACGGUCCUAAGGUAGCGAAAUUCCUUGUCGGGUAAGUUCCGACCUGCACGAAUGGCGUAAUGAUGGCCAGGCUGUCUCCACCCGAGACUCAGUGAAAUUGAACUCGCUGUGAAGAUGCAGUGUACCCGCGGCAAGACGGAAAGACCCCGUGAACCUUUACUAUAGCUUGACACUGAACAUUGAGCCUUGAUGUGUAGGAUAGGUGGGAGGCUUUGAAGCGUGGACGCCAGUCUGCGUGGAGCCAACCUUGAAAUACCACCCUUUAAUGUUUGAUGUUCUAACGUUGGCCCCUUACCGGGGUUGCGGACAGUGUCUGGUGGGUAGUUUGACUGGGGCGGUCUCCUCCCAAAGCGUAACGGAGGAGCACGAAGGUUAGCUAAUCCUGGUCGGACAUCAGGAGGUUAGUGCAAUGGCAUAAGCUAGCUUGACUGCGAGCGUGACGGCGCGAGCAGGUGCGAAAGCAGGUCAUAGUGAUCCGGUGGUUCUGAAUGGAAGGGCCAUCGCUCAACGGAUAAAAGGUACUCCGGGGAUAACAGGCUGAUACCGCCCAAGAGUUCAUAUCGACGGCGGUGUUUGGCACCUCGAUGUCGGCUCAUCACAUCCUGGGGCUGAAGUAGGUCCCAAGGGUAUGGCUGUUCGCCAUUUAAAGUGGUACGCGAGCUGGGUUUAGAACGUCGUGAGACAGUUCGGUCCCUAUCUGCCGUGGGCGCUGGAGAAUUGAGGGGGGCUGCUCCUAGUACGAGAGGACCGGAGUGGACGCAUCACUGGUGUUCGGGUUGUCAUGCCAAUGGCACUGCCCGGUAGCUAAAUGCGGAAGAGAUAAGUGCUGAAAGCAUCUAAGCACGAAACUUGCCCCGAGAUGAGUUCUCCCUGAGACUUUAAGUCUCCUGAAGGAACGUUAAAGACGAUGACGUUGAUAGGCCGGGUGUGUAAGCGCAGCGAUGCGUUGAGCUAACCGGUACUAAUGAACCGUGAGGCUUAACCUU